rnacentral:rRNA from 1 species
AUACAUGCAAGUCGAGCGGACAGAUGGGAGCUUGCUCCCUGAUGUUAGCGGCGGACGGGUGAGUAACACGUGGGUAACCUGCCUGUAAGACUGGGAUAACUCCGGGAAACCGGGGCUAAUACCGGAUGCUUGAUUGAACCGCAUGGUUCAAUUAUAAAAGGUGGCUUUUAGCUACCACUUACAGAUGGACCCGCGGCGCAUUAGCUAGUUGGUGAGGUAACGGCUCACCAAGGCAACGAUGCGUAGCCGACCUGAGAGGGUGAUCGGCCACACUGGGACUGAGACACGGCCCAGACUCCUACGGGAGGCAGCAGUAGGGAAUCUUCCGCAAUGGACGAAAGUCUGACGGAGCAACGCCGCGUGAGUGAUGAAGGUUUUCGGAUCGUAAAACUCUGUUGUUAGGGAAGAACAAGUACCGUUCGAAUAGGGCGGUACCUUGACGGUACCUAACCAGAAAGCCACGGCUAACUACGUGCCAGCAGCCGCGGUAAUACGUAGUGGCAAGCGUUGUCCGGAAUUAUUGGCGUAAGCGCGCGCAGGCGGUUUCUUAAGUCUGAUGUGAAAGCCCGCGGCUCACCGGGGAGGGUCAUUGGAAACUGGGGAACUUGAGUGCAGACAGGAGAGU